ACAGUUAAUUGUGGCUCUUGCAACCCUCUCGCCUGCAAUUCAGGACAGGGCUACCGUAUGUGAAAAUUGUGCCAAGGUCAAUUGGGAAGGUGUGCUAAUUCUCACGUGAUGAAGUGGUUUUAGACUGUUGUUUGGUUUAGGCUGGAAUGCAUAGCCACAAGACUUACAAGCUGAUCACAGAAGCUUGCAAUGCAUGAAUCUUUUGAGGAGAAUGCAAGUGGGUUUGGGGGAUGGAAUCACAGUGAGAUGAAGUGUGCCAAUCAGUAAUGUGAGUACACCAGCUGUCAGUCUUGAGGCAGAAAUAGUCUGUUGAGGAAAGACUUCUACAAUACUGAGAGGUUUAUAGGAUUGGGGUGAAUGUUAAAAUGGUCUUGGUGCGUAGAUACAUACAUAAGGAGGGUUUUUGUUUUUUUGCCAGGCCAGGGGCGGGAGAAGAUGCAUGUUAUGAAUCUAGUGUGGAGUGAGCCUUCAAAUUGAUUCAGAGAGAUAUGGAGUAUGAGGAUGGAUGCUUGGUAGCUGAGAUAGUCCCUUUUACCUAUGUAUAGUUGAGUCUCUGGCACAUAAUGCACAACUAGUCCAUGUUGUAGAAAACAUGUCACACCCUUAUAACUACUCAGGUUCUCCUUGAGGUUAGUGUCCUCUGGAGCUCAGAGUACUUGAGCCCCGAAUUGCUUCCUCUUGCCUUCCAAGUAAAAUAAUUGCAGGGCAGGGAGCUUGAGUUCAGUAGAAAACUGGGCAUGGAUGAAGCCAGCUUCCACAUAAUCAGGUCUAAGUGCCAGGGCCUCCGAGGAUCACAUUAAGAAUAUCAAGCUACCUCAAUACCAGGAGCAAGGAGAGGAUGGUAGAAACCAGUGGCUUAAAGAUCUCUGCAACCCCACCCAUGCUCUUGGCAAUCAGGCUCAGGAAUCUGGUCAUAUAAUUGGACAGCUUGGCAUUACACCUGGGUAGAAAAAACUGAGUCUCAAGUAUUGAUGGGCCCAAGCAAAGUAUAGCUGUUGGGUGCAUUCAGGAUCUUCCUCAGGUACAUCAGUCUCAAGGAUGCCGGCAGCUUCUCUGCUUCAUUAUAGUGAUAAUUAUCUGCCUCCUUUGUGUGUAUGGCCAAUGCUGAGACACUGACUGUGACAAAAAGCCAAGGGCUAUCCAGUGUUUCUGGGGGUAAAGCAGAACAAGCCCUUCUGACUGCUUUCAACAGGCAUGUUUUGUGCAGUUGGGAGUCUUUCAUGGACCUAUGCUCUGUGGGACCACAUGUACAGCCUUUAUCUGAAUUUCGGCACCUCAUUCAUAAGCAUUCUGGUACCUUGCUGUGCCAGACAAGCAUAGUUGAGCUACUGUCUUGAAGAGGUUCUUGAUUCUCGAGAAACCAAACUUUGAUCAGGCUGACUCACCACUGUUGGCUGAAGAUACUUUGCUGCCCGAAGUGGAGACCAAAUGCUCCACUCUGCUGCAUUGCAGGACUGGCACUGGGUCUCCCAUGAAAUGGGAGGAGAAACUAUUGCAGGUGUCAAUGGAGCAAAGCCCAUGGUCAUGGUGUGAGGUAACUGGGCUAGAAAUGACAGGCUUGUAAGACUCAACCGUGUGAGCCACCUUGUUCAAUAUGACCUGUUUUGAGCAGAAGACAUGUGUAAGAUAAGCCUUUAUUACUGUUCCAAGGAGGGAGAUGGAACUCCCCUUAACCUCUGCUUUGUGAUGAGCCCUCCAGUCUCUAAGGUCUUGAUACCAGAUGCCCAUCCUUGACUGCAUUGGUUAUGAGUGACUUGGUCAUAUUGAAUGGUUCACACCCUGCUGGUGUUGCAGGGCUAUUGAGAACUUUGGUUUUCAGGGCUGAUAGUGGUGUUUAACUGUAAUGUCCUGGAUUGAUUACAAAAUGGAUUAUCUUGCAGAUUCCUAGAAAUCAAAGUUGGCCCCUUUUGGAAUGCCUAUAGAAUGGAUGUAACAUAAUUCCAACUGUGUUCUGAGGGUGGAGAUCCAAAACAGCCUAUGUGGUGUUAUUUUGGGACACUGAACAAAAUAAAAUGUACACUGUCAUAUAAAAUGGGGAUUGGAGGAGGAAUAAAGUUCCUAGUGGCUACUAGAAGGUGAAUGGAUGCGAAGAGUUUGCAUGUUUCAGUGAUUUUUGUAAAGCUGUCUCUUUUUGCAAAAAUAAAAGUUUAAACACAAAUGAACCAA